UACGUAGGGUGCGAGCGUUAAUCGGAAUUACUGGGCGUAAAGCGUGCGCAGGCGGUAAGUUAAGUCUGAUGUGAAAGCCCCGGGCUCAACCUGGGAAUGGCAUUGGAAACUGGCUUGCUGGAGUGUGGCAGAGGGGGGUGGAAUUCCGCGUGUAGCAGUGAAAUGCGUAGAGAUGCGGAGGAACACCGAUGGCGAAGGCGGCUCACUGGCCCGAUACUGACGCUGAGGCACGAAAGCGUGGGGAGCAAACAGG
rnacentral:rRNA from 1 species